CAAUAGCGUAUAUUUAAGUUGUUGCAGUUAAAAAGCUCGUAGUUGGAUUUCGGGUGGGACGCAGCGGUCUCGCAUUGCGUUUGUACUGCUGCAUCCCUCCUUCUUGCCGGGGGCGGCCUCUCGGACUUCACUGUCUGGGGGUCAGAAUCGGCGAUGUUACUUUGAGUAAAUUAGAGUGUUCAAAGCAAGCUUACGCUCUGAAUAUAAUAGCAUGGGAUAACACGACAGGACUCUGGCCUAUCGUGUUGGUCUAUAGGACCAGAGUAAUGAUUAAGAGGGACAGUCGGGGGCAUUCGUAUUCCGUUGUCAGAGGUGAAAUUCUUGGAUUUACGGAAGACGAACAUCUGCGAAAGCAUUUGCCAAGGAUGUUUUCAUUGA
rnacentral:rRNA from 1 species